UGCGUAGGUGGUGAUGCAAGUCUGGUGUGAAAUCUCGGAGCUCAACUCCGAAAUUGCACCGGAUACUGCGUGACUCGAGGACUGUAGAGGAGAUCGGAAUUCACGGUGUAGCAGUGAAAUGCGUAGAUAUCGUGAGGAAGACCAGUUGCGAAGGCGGAUCUCUGGGCAGUUCUGACACUGAGCACGAAGCCGAGGGGAGCAAACG
rnacentral:rRNA from 1 species